GAACAAGACUGGUUACUCGCAUCAAUGCCUCUGUCUCGUCAUUUAACAUUCAGACAUGGUGUCAGAGUCGGAUAAUUAACCAUGCUUUUUGCAAAGUAGAGCCAGCCACCUGUUCUGGUUUACCCCCUAAAAAAUGCUUAUUUGAGUAAAACUUUGCCGGAUGCCGGAAUAUUCCUUAGCUAGAGUGAGUUUGCUAGUUAGCUUCAGUGUUGUUAGCACCAGUUAGACAUGGCAGCGAACAUUCCCCCUCCCGCCGUUAUGAAGCUUAGCGGAGACUGGAGCACAAACUGGGAUACGUUUAGAGGUGAAUGGGAGGACUAUGCACUAGCAACGGGACUUCAGGAAAAGGACGAUGAGGUAGUGGCUGCCACUUUGAGGACUAUAAUGGGAACAGAAUGCCGACACGUAUACAAACACAACCUGAACCUAACAGCAGCUCAGCAAGGACUUGAAAAUGAGAUCAUUAACUCUGCAAGCAACGUUUCCAGUCCAAGAAUGAGAAUGAGCAUACAACCAUGCUGACAACCAUCCGUGGAGAUCAGUGGACAAAGGGCUGGACAACAAGCCACACUGAAAAAACGCAUGGUUCCACAGAAUACCAACUGGGAUGGAUCCCGA
rnacentral:lncRNA from 1 species